GUGGGGAAUAUUGGACAAUGGGCGAAAGCCUGAUCCAGCCAUGCCGCGUGUGUGAAGAAGGUCUUCGGAUUGUAAAGCACUUUAAGUUGGGAGGAAGGGCUUCUGGUUAAUACCUGGGAGUUUUGACGUUACCGACAGAAUAAGCACCGGCUAACUCUGUGCCAGCAGCCGCGGUAAUACAGAGGGUGCAAGCGUUAAUCGGAAUUACUGGGCGUAAAGCGCGCGUAGGUGGUUUGUUAAGUUGGAUGUGAAAGCCCCGGGCUCAACCUGGGAAUUGCAUCCAAAACUGGCAGACUAGAGUACGGUAGAGGGUGGUGGAAUUUCCUGUGUAGCGGUGAAAUGCGUAGAUAUAGGAAGGAACACCAGUGGCGAAGGCGACCACCUGGACUGAUACUGACGCUGAGGUGCGAAAGCGUGGGGAGCAAACAGGAUUAGAAACCCCGGUAGUCC
rnacentral:rRNA from 1 species